rnacentral:rRNA from 1 species
CUACGGAGGGUGCAAGCGUUAUUCGGAAUCACCGGGCGUAAAGGACGCGUAGGCGGGUUGGCAAGUCAAAUGAGAAAUCCUACAGCUUAACUGUAGAACUGCAUUUGAAACUGCUAACCUAGAGUAUGGGUGGGGGAGAUGGAAUUAGUGGUGUAGGGGUAAAAUCCGUAGAUAUCACUAGGAAUACCGAAAGCGAAGGCGAUCUCCUGGAACAUAACUGACGCUAAGGCGUGAAAGCGGGGGGAGCAAACAGGAUUAGAAACCCUAGUAGUCC